UCUUCAGCUCCUGGGGCAGGUGGAGUACAAUGGCAGGGAUUUAACAAGUACUCGCCCUGCCUCAGUAGUAGAG
rnacentral:miRNA from 1 species